GUCGAACGCUGGCGGCGUGCUUAACACAUGCAAGUCGAACGGAAAGGCCCUGCUUUUGUGGGGUGCUCGAGUGGCGAACGGGUGAGUAACACGUGAGUAACCUGCCCUUGACUUUGGGAUAACUUCAGGAAACUGGGGCUAAUACCGGAUAGGAGCUCCUGCUGCAUGGUGGGGGUUGGAAAGUUUCGGCGGUUGGGGAUGGACUCGCGGCUUAUCAGCUUGUUGGUGGGGUAGUGGCUUACCAAAGCUUUGACGGGUAGCCGGCCUGAGAGGGUGACCGGCCACAUUGGGACUGAGAUACGGCCCAGACUCCUACGGGAGGCAGCAGUGGGGAAUAUUGCACAAUGGGCGGAAGCCUGAUGCAGCAACGCCGCGUGCGGGAUGACGGCCUUCGGGUUGUAAACCGCUUUCGCCUGUGACGAAGCGUGAGUGACGGUAAUGGGUAAAGAAGCACCGGCUAACUACGUG
rnacentral:rRNA from 1 species